UGAAGUGUCAAGUCUAGCAAGAUUACAAGUACACUCUGUACUGCUCUGUCUCGCCUAGAGUGUAGGUCAGGUGAAUGAGCGAAUGAAGAUGGAGAAGAAAGCGCCCAUCCAGAGAAGACAGAAGUUAGAUUAGGAAUAUAUAUAAUGGCGUUGGAUCACCGCUGUCCACAUAGCUCUGGAUCUGCUCCUCUGUCAGUUGGCCAAAGUACACGUCCGCCGUGU